rnacentral:rRNA from 1 species
UAUUGGCCAAUGGGGGAAAGCCUGAUCCCGCAAUGCCGCGUGAGUGAUGAAGGCCCUAAGGGUUGUAAAGCUUUUUUACCCGGGAAGAUAAUGACUGUACCGGGAGAAUAAGCCCCGGCUAACUCCGUGCCAGCAGCCGCGGUAAUACGGAGGGGGCUAGCGUUGUUCGGAAUUACUGGGCGUAAAGCGCACGUAGGCGGCUUUGUAAGUCAGAGGUGAAUCCUGAGCUCAACUCCAGGAACUGCCUUUGAAACUGCCUCGCUUAAUCCAGAGAGGUCAGUGGAUUCCGAGUGAGAGGUAAAUUGAAUUUCGAAGACACCAGUGGGAAGGGGGGCUGCUGGACUGACUAGCGUGUGUAAAUCG